UUUGAAAUAAGAAAAAAUGUUAUUUUAAAAUGCAGUGAUCAUGGUUGUUUCAGGCUGUAUUGCAAAUUUGCGUCACAGAUAUUUUACAGAGAAACUUUAAUUUGUCAUUCUUUUUAACUUGCAGUGUUACUUGUGAAAUCUUUCUCCUGUAGGAUAAUCUUUUUCCAAAAUUAUAGACAGCUGGUCACUGAUGGCCAUGCAGAAACCUGAACAAACAUCUUUCAUUAAAGGAUACUCUUAGGUAAGCACUUACAAUUUUUUAGUAUAUUACAGGGAGAUGCUUUUUACUGUUCCAACUGUAAAACAUUGCUAAGACGAAUUGCAUAGCCAUAUGACAGUGGUGAUUAUAACUAUUUUGUAGGAGCAUUAAAAUAAUGAUUAUGCUUUGUUUCAUGAGAAAGCAGAGUGGAAAAUUCCACAUACCUCUAAUUACAUAACUUAAUAAACAUGAGAAGAUUCUCUUUAUUUUGGUUACACCUCUCAAUAUAAUUUUUUCAUGCAAUGCAAGUUAUGGCAUAGGGAUUAUGGUUGUCAACUGAAGAAUGACAAGGUUCAUAAAUUUGGAAAGGGUUACAGCUUGCAGGGUGGCCAUCUGACAGGCUAAGAAGCCAGAAACAGACAUUUUGAGGGAGGGGCAAUGGGAGCAGGAAUGUGUGCCAACAAGGUGGCUGAAUAUACAUGUUUAAUAAGCUACAGGAGGGGUUAUGAAUCUUUAUGAAAGAGGAAACAUGCAAAUGAGCAAUAAAGCUUCACACUUCUCCAAGGGACCCAUGUUCAGAAAAUGGCCAUAUUACCAUGAUUGGAGGACAGAGUUUCCGACCUUCUGACUUCAAAAGGUGAUGCGGAGGACACAAAAUUCCCAACUGCACAUUCCUUGCAGAGUCCAUGGUCCGUGGUCUCUUAUCAGGCAAAAAGGAAGGGCUGUGUCAGGUUGGUCAAUAGCGGUGGAGUCAUUUGAAAGACUGGUUUCUGUUUCGCUUUUAGGGAAGAAAGCCUAAUGGUGGCCAGCAGGGCAGGGGCACAUUGAGGUGUGUCUGACCUCAUCCCUUCAUGGCCAAGAACUCAGUUUUCAAGGUUACGCUGGGGACCUGUGGGACAGGAAGGGGGUCCAUUCAGUCAGUUGGGGGGCUUAGUAUUUCAUUUUUAUUUCUCAUGGGUUUUUCUAUAAGGCCAAUAAAAAACAACAAACAUGCAUGGAAGAAGUACUGUGGCCACCUUAAAAUAUCUAAUACUAGUAUUACCUAGCUAUUAUGGACAGAACGGUUUCUCCCCCAGAUUGAUAUGUUUGAAGCCUUAACCCCCCUACUGUGACCAUAAGUGAAGACAGGGCUUAUAAGGAGGUAGUUACGGUCAAAUGAGGUCACAAGGGUGGGGCUCUGGAUAGAUAUAGUGAUCUUAUGGAAGGACAUCAGAGAGCCUCUCUUUCCCCCACAGGCACACAAGGAAGAGGCCAUUUGAGCCCACAGCAAGAAGGCUGCCAUCUGCUGGCCAAGAGAAGUGGUCUCAGAAUGAAACCACCUUGCUGCCACCUUGAUCUUGGACUUCCAGUUUACAGAACUGUAAUUGGAAGCUGGAACUCCAUGUCACCUCUCUCAGCCCGUUUUAAAACAAUAGCUCUAAACAAUAGACCCGAAUAUGCCACUGAAGAAAUGACACUAGGAGGAGUAACUGUAAGAAUUGGGGGCCUCUCAGUGGGUGGCCGAAAACCAGCGACAGGUGGGAAGGUGAGUCCUGCUUCCCAUGCCCCAGGCUGGCUCCAGUAACUUCCAUAAAUAGAGGACGUGGGAAGGGGAGGUGGUGGGAAAUUGGGAGCAGAGCAAGAGAUGAUAGGAAAGUGAGAAAAAGAUUGGUUUUUAUUGAUUCAAAAACUAGAAUUAUUGAAUAAAUGUUCAGAGCAACGUGAGAAUCAGGCUGCUUGGUGGUGCUAAUUUAAAAAUAGGUAUAAAUUACCCCAUUCAACAAAAAUGCUUUACAUGUAGAAAAAAAGUCCAGCAAAUUGAACAGAGAUUUUUUUCAUUCUUCUUGUGAAAGGUCAGGGCAGUUCUAAUUCCAAUGUCCAAUUACCAGACACAAUCAGCACAGCAAAGUAGAACCAACUCAAUUUCAAUCUCGGGCAUUUGUCUCACCUUUAGCUGCCGUUGGUAUGACUCACUGCAAUUUUCUCAUCAAAAAGCUAAUUUUAGGAGCAAAAUGUCAAGAAAAGAUGAAAAAGAAGAGCCAGGUUUUACAGAGCCUGGGAUUUUUUUUUUUUUUUUUUUAAAUCAGGGCUGCACUCAUAAGCUACGUGUCAAAUCAGUCACCCACAGAAGCCUCUAUGAUGUUAUGGCCGGGAUCCAAGGGAAUAGAAA